rnacentral:rRNA from 1 species
UGAGUAACCUGCCCUUGACUCUGGGAUAAGCCUGGGAAACCGGGUCUAAUACUGGAUACGACCUUCUGGCGCAUGCCAUGUUGGUGGAAAGCUUUUGUGGUUUUGGAUGGACUCGCGGCCUAUCAGCUUGUUGGUGGGGUAAUGGUCUACCAAGGCGACGACGGGUAGCCGGCCUGAGAGGGUGACCGGCCACACUGGGACUGAGACACGGCCCAGACUCCUACGGGAGGCAG